rnacentral:rRNA from 1 species
UACGAAGGGGGCUAGCGUUGUUCGGAAUUACUGGGCGUAAAGCGCACGUAGGCGGACAUUUAAGUCAGGGGUGAAAUCCUGGAGCUCAACUCCAGAACUGCCUUUGAUACUGAAGAUCUUGAGUUCGGGAGAGGUGAGUGGAACUGCGAGUGUAGAGGUGAAAUUCGUAGAUAUUCGCAAGAACACCAGUGGCGAAGGCGGCUUACUGGUCCGGUUCUGACGCUGAGGCGCGAAAGCGUGGGGAGCAAACAGG